UGCAAGUCGAGCGGAACGAUCCUAGCUUGCUAGGAGGCGUCGAGCGGCGGACGGGUGAGUAAUGCAUAGGAAUCUGCCCGAUAGUGGGGGAUAACCUGAGGAAACUCAGGCUAAUACCGCAUACGUCCUACGGGAGAAAGCAGGGGCUCUUCGGACCUUGCGCUAUCGGAUGAGCUUAUGUCGGAUUAGCUGGUUGGUGAGGUAACGGCUCACCAAGGCGACGAUCCGUAGCUGGUCUGAGAGGAUGAUCAGCCACAUCGGGACUGAGACACGGCCCGAACUCCUACGGGAGGCAGCAGUGGGGAAUAUUGGACAAUGGGGGCAACCCUGAUCCAGCCAUGCCGCGUGUGUGAAGAAGGCCCUCGGGUUGUAAAGCACUUUCAGUGAGGAAGAAGGCUUGUCGGUUAAUACCCGGCAAGGGAGACAUCACUCACAGAAGAAGCACCGGCUAACUCCGUGCCAGCAGCCGCGGUAAUACGGAGGGUGCGAGCGUUAAUCGGAAUUACUGGGCGUAAAGCGUGCGUAGGCGGCUUGAUAAGCCGGUUGUGAAAGCCCCGGGCUCAACCUGGGAACGGCAUCCGGAACUGUCAGGCUAGAGUGCAGGAGAGGAAGGUAGAAUUCCCGGUGUAGCGGUGAAAUGCGUAGAGAUCGGGAGGAAUACCAGUGGCGAAGGCGGCCUUCUGGACUGACACUGACGCUGAGGUACGAAAGCGUGGGUAGCAAACAGGAUUAGAUACCCUGGUAGUCCACGCCGUAAACGAUGUCGACUAGCCGUUGGGGUCCUCGAGACCUUUGUGGCGCAGUUAACGCACUAAGUCGACCGCCUGGGGAGUACGGCCGCAAGGUUAAAACUCAAAUGAAUUGACGGGGGCCCGCACAAGCGGUGGAGCAUGUGGUUUAAUUCGAUGCAACGCGAAGAA
rnacentral:rRNA from 1 species